rnacentral:rRNA from 1 species
ACUAGAGUAUAGAGAGAAGUGGAAUUUCAGGUGUAGCGGUGAAUGCGUAGAUAUCUGAAGGAACAUCAAUGGCGAAGGCAGCUUUCUGGGACUUAAUACUGACACUGAGGUACGAAAGCGUGGGUAGCAAACAGGAUUAGAUACCCUGGUAGUCCACGCCGUAAACGAUGAUAACUAGCCGUUGGGAGGAUUUACCUCUUAGUGGCGAAGCUAACGCGUUAAGUUAUCCGCCUGGGGAGUACGGCCGCAAGGUUAAAACUCAAAGGAAUUGACGGGGAUCCGCACAAGCGGUGGAGCAUGUGGUUUAAUUCGAUGCAACGCGAAGAACCUUACCUGGUCUUGACAUACAGAGAACUUUCUAGAGAUAGAUUGGUGCCUUCGGGAACUCUGAUACAGGUGCUGCAUGGCUGUCGUCAGCUCGUGUCGUGAGAUGUUGGGUUAAGUCCCGUAACGAGCGCAACCCUUAUCCUUAUUUGCCAGCACAUCAUGGUGGGAACUAUAGGGAGACUGCCGGUGAUAAACCGGAGGAAGGCGGGGACGACGUCAAGUCAUCAUGGCCCUUACGACCAGGGCUACACACGUGCUACAAUGGGAAGGACAAAGGGUUGCUAAGCCGCGAGGUGGUGCUAAUCUCAUAAACCUUUUCGUAGUCCGGAUCGGAGUCUGCAACUCGACUCCGUGAAGUCGGAAUCGAUAGUUUC